CCAGACUCCUACGGGAGGCAGCAGUGGGGAAUAUUGCACAAUGGGGGGAACCCUGAUGCAGCAAUGCCGCGUGGGUGAAGAAGCACUCCGGUGCGUAAAGCCCUGUCAGCAGGGAAGAAAAUGACAGUACCUGACCAAGAAGCCCCGGCUAACUACGUGCCAGCAGCCGCGGUAAUACGUAGGGGGCAAGCGUUAUCCGGAUUUACUGGGUGUAAAGGGAGCGCAGGCGGUAUGGCAAGUCAGAUGUGAAAACCCAGGGCCCAACCCUGGGACUGCAUUUGAAACUGCCAUACUGGAGUGCCGGAGAGGUAAGUGGAAUUCCUAGUGUAGCGGUGAAAUGCAUAGAUAUCGCGCAGAACUCCGAUUGCGAAGGCAGCAUGCCGGCUCCACACUGACGCUGAGGCACGAAAGCGUGGGUAUCGAACAGGAUUAGAUACCCCAGUAGG
rnacentral:rRNA from 1 species